GAUGAACGCUGGCGGCGUGCCUAAUACAUGCAAGUCGAGCGAACAGACGAGGAGCUUGCUCCUCUGACGUUAGCGGCGGACGGGUGAGUAACACGUGGAUAACCUACCUAUAAGACUGGGAUAACUUCGGGAAACCGGAGCUAAUACCGGAUAAUAUCUUGAACCGCAUGGUUCAAUAGUGAAAGACGGUUUUGCUGUCUCUUAUAGAUGGAUCCGGGCCGUAUUAGCUAGUUGGUAAGGUAACGGCUUAGCAAGGCGACGAUGCGUAGCCGACGUGAGAGAGGGGUCGGCGGCAUUGGAGCGGAGACGCGGUCAAGGCGCCUGCGGGAGGGAGCAGUCGGGAAUCUGACGCAAUGGUCGAGAACCUUGCAGAGCGGGGGCGAGUGAGUUGUGGAGGCGUUGGGAUCGGGAAACUCUGUUAUUGGUGGAAAACAAAUUUGGAAGGAGAUAUGCACGUAUUGACGGUACCGGAUCAGGAAGCCACGGCUAACUACGUG
rnacentral:rRNA from 1 species